CUUUUCUGAAGAGCUGGCAACUCUCAAACACCAUCUGCCUCCUCUGCGAUGGGUGCCGAGAAGGGGAAGACCUCCUGCAGCAGGGAUGGAGUACUGGGCUGGUGUUGGGAAGGCGCUGGAGAGGGACUAGAGCUCUGAGGGCAUGUUUCACACCUACCUGGAGCCACCUCUGCUGUGACAUGUUGGUUGGGACCAGACCAAAUGCCAGCGGUGGACAUCUCCCAGCAUUAGGGAGAGGGGAGCAUGUCCUCACCUCUCCCCGUGCAAACUACCUGCCAAAUGCCAGCAGUAAAUCCUUGCUCAGGAUGUGGCCCGCAGAGAUGCCUGCAAGCAAAUGGGCUGCAACACCCUGGCACUGAACAGCCCAGAGAGGUGGAUGGAGGCCACCGGGAGCCAUGGGGACCCGAGAGCCAUGGUAAUGCUGAGAGGAAGCAGUCCUUCUCUUCCAGCCUAGGCUCUGGGCACCCUCAGCCCUACGGUGUUUGCUCUACGAGGACAGCGUUCGUCAGCAGGAGCACAGCUUUUGCCUGCUGAUCGAGGUACCCGGACCAGUCUCCGGGUUUGUUGGCUUGCCUGGAGGAUGCCCCCGGCUGUCACUGCUUCCUGAACAGCAGCCAAGCCCCUUACCAGAAGAAAACGAAUGCUGCAAAGCCCGCGCCUCCGCCGGCAGGAGCCGUUCGUAGGUGUUGAAGAUCCCAGCAUCCGAAAUGAUAACAGGAGCAAAGAUGUUC